CACUCCUGCGGGAGGCAGCAGUGGGGAAUUUUGGACAAUGGGCGAAAGCCUGAUCCAGCAAUGCCGCGUGUGUGAAGAAGGCCUUCGGGUUGUAAAGCACUUUUGUCCGGAAAGAAAUCCUUGGCUCUAAUACAGACGGGGGAUGACGGUACCGGAAGAAUAAGCACCGGCUAACUACGUGCCAGCAGCCGCGGUAAUACGUAGGGUGCGAGCGUUAAUCGGAAUUACUGGGCGUAAAGCGUGCGCAGGCGGUUUGCUAAGACCGAUGUGAAAUCCCCGGGCUCAACCUGGGAACUGCAUUGGUGACUGGCAGGCUAGAGUAUGGCAGAGGGGGGUAGAAUUCCACGUGUAGUAGUGAAAUGCGUAGAGAUGUGGAGGAAUACCGAUGGCGAAGGCAGCCCCCUGGGCCAAUACUGACGCUCAUGCACGAAAGCGUGGGGAGCAAACAGGAUUAGAUACCCCGGUAGUCCCAUG
rnacentral:rRNA from 1 species